UACGUAGGGUGCAAGCGUUGACCGGAAUUAUUGGGCGUAAAGAGCUUGUAGGCGGUUUGUCGCGUCUGCUGUGAAAUUUCGGGGCUCAACCCCGAACUUGCAGUGGGUACGGGCAGACUAGAGUGUGGUAGGGGAGACUGGAAUUCCUGGUGUAGCGGUGAAAUGCGCAGAUAUCAGGAGGAACACCGAUGGCGAAGGCAGGUCUCUGGGCCAUAACUGACGCUGAGAAGCGAAAGCAUGGGGAGCGAACAGG
rnacentral:rRNA from 1 species